UCGAAUAUGCAUUUGAUAUGAAAAGUAGAGGGAAUGGCACUUUGUGUCCAGGUGACAGGGACAGGGAUAUGCAGGAGACAGGGAUCGAGUAUCCUGGCAGCAAUCAAGCACUCUGAUGGGCUGAAGGUGGAAGCAAUUAGCUGCUACACUGACCUGUGCAUGGGUAGCACAAACGGAACCCCAGAAGUAGCUGUGAACCAAGAAUCGGCUGCUCUUGCGUUCCGUUACUGCUAGCUGUAGACUCUCUGCUAGAACUUCUCUCAGCUUAAUGACUGUUUGAGGGUAAGGGGAGUCUUCUGGAAUGACACAAUCACUCCCGGUUAAGCCUAAAUAAAUAUUUACCGGGAAACUUGUGUCAGCCAAGACAGCCCCCCCACGUCUUCAGUGGUUUCCGAGAACGCAACAUGGAAUUACCAUCAGUUACACAACUAGGAAAGAGAGAAACCAUCUCCUUCAUGUCUCAGAUGAUGUGGCAUGCUCUGAUUCGAGUUGUUCUGUUAUCACCAUGGUUACAAAUAAGAAGAAACUUUCUUCUGUAGAUUUUCUUUGAAAGUACCUCUCAUCGUUUUGUACAAGAAAACAAACUGUUGCCGUUAGCUGAUGGUACAAGCACUAAGAGGAUAGAGACCUAAAGUUUUAGACAAGCACACUAGGGGCAAGUGAGAUGGAUUUUUUUGACACAGUGAUUGGCAAUGAUUGUGACCUUGCAGCUUUUGAGGACGGUGGAAGCAGAGAUAAAAAGAUUCCAAAAUCAAGUCGGAUGGGCACUUCAGUGAAAUUACAUUACAGGGACUGCCGGGAAUAGAAAUGGAGAAUGAGACUGGCUGGAUGGCUCUAUAGAGUGCCAACAUGGACAUGAUGCACCAAAUGGCCUCCUGCUGUGCUGUGAUAACUUAAUGAUCUUGGAAUAAAGGCCCAA